rnacentral:pre_miRNA from 1 species
GCAGUGGCAUGCUUGACAGUGAUUCUUUCCUGGGAUUUGGGAGCUUAUCAGAAUCUCCAGGGGUACUUUAUAAUUUAAAAAUGUCCCCCAGGUGUGAUUCUGAUUUGCUUCCUUCUCCUCCCACUCUGACAAUCACUGUUUCAUUAGAAGCCUCAGC